rnacentral:tRNA from 2 species
GGCUGGGUAGCUUAGCUGGCUAGAGCAUUCGGUUCAUACCCGGAAGGUCGUGGGUUCGACUCCCACCCCCGCCACCA